CAGUAGUCUACAUCUCGUUUUGUCCCCCGGAGGACGCGAUGCAUUUGUAUACGAAUAGUUCCCAUUGUUCUUCCCGCAGCAUCUGAUGCUCGCCGUGGCCUCGGCAGGAUUUUAUUUGCCAUCCUUACAUCCUUCUCCGAGGUCUGUCUUCAAUUAAUGGCUCGUUGUCUCCUCCAGACCCAGCACUGCAGGAUGAGGUCCGGGCACGUUUAGUUAUCUCUAUGUGUGUGUGGUCUGCACUGAGCCCUCCUAUGAACCGUAGACGUCCAGCG
ensembl:lncRNA